GUGGGGAAUAUUGGACAAUGGGCGAAAGCCUGAUCCAGCCAUGCCGCGUGUGUGAAGAAGGUCUUCGGAUUGUAAAGCACUUUAAGUUGGGAGGAAGGGCAGUAAGUUAAUACCUUGCUGUUUUGACGUUACCAACAGAAUAAGCACCGGCUAACUUCGUGCCAGUAGCCGCGGUAAUACGAAGGGUGCAAGCGUUAAUCGGAAUUACUGGGCGUAAAGCGCGCGUAGGUGGUUCAGCAAGUUGGAGGUGAAAUCCCCGGGCUCAACCUGGGAACUGCCUCCAAAACUGCAUGACUAGAGUACGGUAGAGGGUAGUGGAAUUUCCUGUGUAGCGGUGAAAUGCGUAGAUAUAGGAAGGAACACCAGUGGCGAAGGCGACUACCUGGACUGAUACUGACACUGAGGUGCGAAAGCGUGGGGAGCAAACAGGAUUAGAAACCCGGGUAGUCC
rnacentral:rRNA from 1 species